UAAUUCUCAAAACCCAGCAGCCGCCACCCUUUCUUCUUCCCUUCAGCUAGCUUGCAACACAACUGCGCAGCCCUAUCCUAACACACACACAUGGUUCCUGAACCAAAUGAAAAGAGAGAAACGGAAGAGAGAAGGGAGGAAGGAGGCUGUCCGCCGGCACCACUGGGUCUCGCCACUGCCGCUGAGGUAAGGAGACGCUGAGCUGCUACACGUGGGGAGCCGUUCAGCCACCGCGCCCUACCCAGUUGGGGCCGCCACUGUUGCUCACGGGGUCGCCUCUGUCACAGAUCGGAACUGAGGCGAGAGAGGAAGAGUCUGACGGGAGGGCAUGCGCGCGAGGAGGGAGGAAGGCUUCGCGAGGAGCGUCGCGCCGCCGCCGCUGUCCGUGCCUUCGCCAUCGUCGUUUCGUCUCAACCCAGCAUCGCCGUCGUGCCCUGGCGCCAUUAAUGGAGUACGCCGCCGUCGCCUGAGAAGAACCCGACGGGAGAGAAAGUGGGAAAGCCAGCCGCGACGCCGCCGGAGCUUCCAUUGCCGUCAGAAGCUACUACCGUCCAACCAGCUGGUGCAGUGGUUGUCGCCCGUCGUGAACGGCUGCUGAAGAAGUUGUUGUGGCCUCCGGAACCACACUGGAGCUUCUGGCCGUUUCUGCCGCUUGAGACCUUGCUACCGUCGCCGGAAAAUUUUGUCGUUGACUCACCGGAGCUUCAGGCCGCUACCGGAGCUGUUGCCGGGUCGGUUCGUAAUUGCAACUGCCUCAUUGUGUUAAUUCGAGCUGUUUAUGCUGCCGCAAAAAUGUGUGGGGCUGUGCUUUGAAGCUGCCGUUGAGUUUGGGUCGAGGCAAAAGGAUUUCUGAGAGGCGUUUGGAUUAUAGUUUCAACAUGUUGAGGAUAUGGACGCAGAAGUUACGAAGAGUUUAUCUAGUUGUUGUGAUGUUUUGUAUUGCUUUAGUUAUGGUUUAUUGUUCCCUCGCCUUUAUCUUUAUAUAUUCUGUAAGAGGGAUAGGAAUUGUAUUGGCUAAUGCUUGUAAUAAUAUUUAU